rnacentral:rRNA from 1 species
AUUGAACGCUAGCGGGAUGCCUUACACAUGCAAGUCGAACGGAGUGGCGAACGGGUGAGUAAUGUAUCGGAACGUGCCCAGUAGCGGGGGAUAACUACGCGAAAGCGUAGCUAAUACCGCAUACUAUUGGAGCGGCCGAUAUCGGAUUCGCAAGUUGGGUGGGUAACGGCUCACCCAGGCGACGAGCCGGAGCUGGUUGGAGAGGACGACCAGCCACACUGGGACUGAGAGACGGCCCAGACUCCGACGGGAGGGCGAAGUGGGGAAUUUUGGACAAGGGGGGAAACCCUGAUCCAGCCAUCCCGCGUGUGCGAUGAAGGCCUUCGGGUUGUAAAGCACUGUUGGCAGGAAAGCGGUACCUGCAGAAUAAGCACCGGCUAACUACGUGCCAGCAGCCGCGGUAAUUC